AACGUCCAGGCAAGUGUGUUAGAGCUGGUUGGAGCUACACUCUGGAUGACACUGGCCCUCCAGGAGUAGGAUUGGACACUCCUGGAUUACUGAGCAGUUGUGUAGAGCUUCAGUGAGUUGGAGACAUGGGUGACUUCCCGACUCUACAGACAAACUAUCGGAGACUUCCUGUUACCGGUGAUGAAAGUGAUUCUUCACAUGAGAGUGUUGCAUCUCCUUUACU